rnacentral:rRNA from 1 species
UGGGGAAUAUUGCGCAAUGGGGGCAACCCUGACGCAGCAACGCCGCGUUCGGGACGACGGCCUUCGGGUUGUAAACCGCUUUCAGCAGGGAAGAUAGUGACGGUACCUGCACAAGAAUCCCCGGCUAACUACGUGCCAGCAGCCGCGGUAAUACGUAGGGGGCGAGCGUUAUCCGGUUUCAUUGUGCGUAAAGCGCGCGCAGGCGGCUCUUCAAGCGGAACCUCUAACCCCGGGGCUCAACCGCGGGCCGGGUUCCGAACUGGAGGGCUCGAGUGCGGUAGAGGCAGGAGGAAUUCCCGGUGUGGCGGUGGAAUGAGCAGAUAUCGGGAAGAACACCGAAGGCGAAGGCAGCCUGCUGGGACGGCACUGACGCUGAGGCGCGAAAGCAAGGGGAGCGAACAGG